CACGCCUGUAGUCCCAGCUACUUGGGAGGCUGGGGCACAAGAAUCGCAUGAACCCGGGAGGAAAAAAAAGAGAAAAUACAAUUUCUCAAAUAGUAAAGGUUUAAUAAGCCUCCCACUUAUGUGCUGAAAUAAACUUGAAUUGAUAAAGAUUUAAACGAAAACAAAUGUGGUCAUCUUUAGAAGCAUAUUAUUUAGAUAUGAGGUAUCAUGUGAUGUCAUUGCAAAUUGUGUAGGAAAAGCAUCAACUUCUGUUUAAAUUUGCUUGGAUGAAUGAAUGUGAGGAAGUCAGUGUGGGAAUUUAAGUAUGGUGAACUCUCAAUUAUUCUCAAAAUAGGAUAUUUCAAAAAGGCAGGUAUCUCUAAACAAAUUAAACAGGAUUUGGAAAACAUUUUUGUACUUAAAUUUGAUAUUUUGCCUGAUAUUUGGGACUUCUAACCAUUACUGCCCAAUGCUUGGUACAUAGCAGAUGCUCAAUAAAUAUUUGCAAAAUGAAGAAAUUAAUGAAUGGAACACACAUACUUGAAUGAGCAGAAAGACUGAAAGUACACAGAACUGAAAGCCAGUUUGAUUUCUUCAUCUGUCAAACUCCCUAGUGAAAAUGUGCUUUGUGACACUUCUGAUUCUUUCAAACCUUCUCCAGAAGGAAAGCAAUUAAUUAUGACUUGUAUUAGCAUGAGUGGAUAACUUAAUUUUUGCCCCCAAUUUCCUCAUCUGUAAAAUGGGAAAGAUAGUAGUACAUAGCACAGAGUUGUUAUGAAGAUCGAAUAGGUUAAUGCCUGUAGAACACUGAAAGCACGCCACUUGCAACAUGGCCGUGUUUAUUGAAUGAUGAUGAUUAAUCCUCAUUAGGAUCCAGAUGAUUUGUAGAUUUCAUUUUAGCCAUAAGCUGCAAGGAUUUUUUUUUUUUUAACUAAAACGUUAUUGUAAUUUUUUUUGGUAACUUUGGUGUUAAAAGUAGAUGAUUUGGGCCUAUGAUUUACAUGAAAUCUAGGGAAAUGAUUUAAUAUCCUGUAAUUUAAAAAAAUGACUUUAAAAUGUUCUAUCACGGUAUAGGUAGGUAACAGAAAGCUCCUACUCUUGGUGCCUUAGUGGCCAUUCCAGAGCCAGUUUCCUGAGGACGCUGAGCUCAGUGCCUAAGACUUAGCCAGCAUUCUGCAGCUGAUUCACCAAGGAAACCUUAACCAUAUUCUAUACGGGGAAAG